UGGGGAAUUUUGCACAAUGGGGGAAACCCUGAUGCAGCGACGCCGCGUGAUUUAGAAGGCCUUCGGGUUGUAAAAAUCUUUUCUAUGGGAAGAAAAUGACAGUACCAUAGGAAUAAGGACCGGCUAAUUACGUGCCAGCAGCCGCCGUAAUACGUAAGGUCCGAGCGUUGUCCGGAAUCAUUGGGCGUAAAGGGUACGUAGGCGGGUAAGCAAGUUAGAAGUGAAAUCCUAUAGCUCAACUAUAGUAAGCUUUUAAAACUGCUCAUCUUGAGGUAUGGAAGGGAAAGUGGAAUUCCUAGUGUAGCGGUGAAAUGCGCAGAUAUUAGGAGGAAUACCGGUGGCGAAGGCGACUUUCUGGCCAUAACCUGACGCUGAGGUACGAAAGCGUGGGUAGCAAACAGG
rnacentral:rRNA from 1 species